rnacentral:rRNA from 1 species
UACGUAGGUGGCAAGCGUUUGUCCGGAAUUAUUGGGCGUAAAGCGCGCGCAGGCGGUUCUUUUAAGUCUGAUGUGAAAGCCCACGGCUCAACCGUGGAGGGUCAUUGGAAACUGGGGAACUUGAGUACAGAAGAGGAAAGCGGAAUUCCACGUGUAGCGGUGAAAUGCGUAGAGAUGUGGAGGAACACCAGUGGCGAAGGCGGCUUUCUGGUCUGUAACUGACGCUGAGGCGCGAAAGCGUGGGGGAGCAAACAGG